UCUUAUAAUCCAUCUCGCCCUACCUGCCGUCUCUGCAACUCUCUGCCUCUCUCUCUCUCUCUCUCUCUCUUUUCGAUCCCACUGAUCGAUGCACUGGAACCUCGGACCUUCAAGUUGAACGCGUUAAUGUCUAUUACAAUGAGGUCAGUCGUGGAAGGUUCGUUUCCAGAGCUGUUCUCAUGGAUCUUGAGCCCAGAGCCAUGGAUAGACAGACAGUGUGCGCACUGGUCCUUACGGCCAGAUCUUCAGGCCUGAUAACUUUGUGUUUGUUCAAUCUGCCAUCAAGAGUUCAUCUUGAAUUGACCAGGAGAUAGAGGGAUGAUUGCUUUUGGUGUGAGUAUUCUGGCCUGAAGAUCUUAGGAUCCCCUUUGAGCGCUUUGGCCCUGUGAAGGAUGUUUACCUUCCAAAGAAUUACUACACUGGGUAUCCUAUCUUGCACAUGAUGGAAACAUUUUCCUUUCCAUAUGAUUGCUUCAAUUAUCUUAUUUCAGCUAAUGCAUGGGGAUCAUUAUGUCCUUUAAGCUCUUGUCAAUACGUUACUUGAUGUACCUGUUGUACAGGUUUUAUUCAUUGUCUGAGCCUAUUGCUUGGAAUGGGCUGCCCCUCUGAUGGUUGGGGCUGGUUUGAUGAAACUGUUGAAUGAUUAGGUGGUACUGCUUGGAUGUAAUUUUGAAGCAAUAGUAAGCCAAGAAAACUUUAAGUGACUGAGAAGAAAGAGAUUAAGGAAAGAUUUGUAGAAGGAAAAUGUUUUAUGGUUAUAUGCAUUUGCAAUUUAUUUUUAUUGCACCAGUAUCACACAGAUUUAGUAAACAAAGCUCCUGUGUAUUCUAUUUAUUUUUUAAGCAUAUAGAUCUGCCUAAAUUUCUUCAAUACAUGAAAUUCAGGGUAAAUAAUCAUCAAUGCAUUGGAGGACGUUUAGAUAUUGACAUCAACUAUGGUGUGUGAAAGAGCUUGGGCAAAGAGAUUUUGCAUAGUUAGAGUUCUCUCUCUUUCUCUCUCUCUCUUAUUUUGUUGUUUUUUACCCUCUUUGAUGUAUAAGGAGGUUUUAUGUAAACAUUCAGAAUAAAUCUGUAUGAUUUGCUUCAGUGCGUUUGAUGGUGUUGUUUGAUCUAUCUGGACAAUUGUUUGUGUCUCUUUGUUUCUCUCUCUCACUUUGUGGGUAUUUUGAAUGUGUAGUUCUCGUAUUUUUUUUAGUUAAAGGGGUUUUAAAUUUCUAAAAGUUAAUUAGCAAUUUUUUUUCCCUUCGAAUUUUCAAUUGAAAAGUCUGAAGAGAAAGUUGAGAAAAAAAAAUUAUAGUAAUAAUUGGGCCGGGCGAGGCUCAAUAGGGCCUUUUCCGGUCUAUGCUGGCGCUUUGUUUGCAUUUCAAGGCCUUACCGGGCAUUAGCAGGCGGGCCUGGUUUAUGCAUGAAAUUCCAGCCUUUUAACGGGGCGGGGCUUAUCGGGCCUAUUUCUGGCCGGUCUGAAAUAUUCUCAGGCUUUCCGGGCCUUGGACCGGACCUGGCCCCGACUCGGCCCAUUGGCAGCCCUACUGGUGCAUGGUCUCUUUUGGAUUUUUUUCAUGGUCUUAUGUGCAUUGGUUUGAGUUUAAUGGGGCAAAUGAUGAAUAUAAUUGAUAAGCAUAUGUCUGAGUAGACUAUUGACACUAUGAGGGUCAACUCAAUAGGAAAAUCUAAUGCGCAACUUACUCCACAUUGGUUCUUCAUGAUGGCAAAAUUUAUCUCCAUGUUGUAUUUUGUUCAUCUCUGUUGUGUUUUUUGUCUUCUCAUGUACGACUCAUUCUAGUUCCUAUGUGCAUUAUCUUUUUUGUUCAUCAAACUGUAGGUUUGUGCUCCUCCCACCGCACUAUUCUUGAUUUUAAAUGUGGCAAUUUGCUUGAGAAUUCAUAACGGUUUUUGUAGUAAUUUCAUUUGUGCUUUUCUAGUCUAUCAUUCUUUGCUGAUCGUUUCCAAAUCUUCCUUGAAAUAUGCUAUGGGACAUUAAUGUGUCCUUCUCUAGAACUUCAUUGAAUAGAUAAACUUCAAUGAUUCUUUAGUUUAAAAAAAAGGUAAAUGAUGAACUUCAUUGAAUAGAGCACAUCUCUGGAUGUCAUGUUGUUCAAUUGAUUGACUAGGAAGAUCUGAUGCUUUGCAUAUAUUGUUACUUUAUUUUACUCCACUUUCCUGUCUCGAUUCCUUGUUUUGGUAUCUACUUUGUUCUAUUUGUUUUAACUGGUUUAAAUUGAUGUCACAUUUUGUGGACUUCACUGUUGCUAAUUUGGUAUCCCCUUUUCUUUACUCAAAGUUCCCUAAUGAUUUUAUGUCUUUGAUUCUUCUUUUGUUAACAUUGAAAUCCAUGUCUUCUCAGGUGAUUAUGGGACUCCUAUGCCACACUACAUGCUGUAUACUGUUUGCAUACUACAUGUUGUCUCCACUCCCUGUUUUCAAUAACGGCUGGUUGUGAUGAACCUCCAUUUGCUCAAGAGAACAAUGGUGGAGGAAUGUAUCAGCUCCGCUGUUGGUCUUUGAGAAUGGAUGGUGGAGACCUACAUUUAAUACCUAAACUGACCGUCACAUGCAGUAUGAAUUACCUUUCCCUUGCAAUAAUCUUACUUCUCUUGCAGUUUUGAUUGUUCAGACCUGCUUUGCAGAUAUGGCUCUUUUUACAUGUGAGCAUUGCAGGUGUAGAGAACAUAAAUAUUAGAAUUAUCCCUAUCUGAUUCUUUGAGCGAGGGCCCAUUUUGAAACUGAAGCACAUUGCAGUAAUCUAAAAUGUGAUCAUUUUCAAAGGUGUAAUUCACCUCCCAUAGGUGUUGUGGAUGAUGAGAAGAUGAAGAGAGCAGUUAUCCCUGUCUGAUUUUUGAAUGCUGAUCUUUUCAAAUCUGACACAUGGUGCUAUUUAUCUCAAGUCAAAUCAAUUUGGUGAUUUUUUCUGAAAAGUUGAUCACCUUCAGCUAAUCAAACUACUUUAACUUCUUAGUCGAGGGCCCUUGUUGAGGCCAGUGAUUUCUGGGGGAUUGACUCGACGGGGCCUGAGUUUUUACUUUCAUCUUUGAAUGUUUGGCAUAUUUUGUGUACCUCUAUGUCCAUCCAUCUUGGUGAACUUCCUUUUGUAAAUUAUUUCUUUACAACAUAUUUCUUGUAAAUUAUUUCUUUAAAGGACUAUGUUUCUCCUUAAAUUUUAGUCUCGAUAAUUUUUUCUUUUAUGGUUCAAUCAUUUUUUUCUCUUAAUUCAUUUUCGAAUAUGGAGGUCUUCCCCCCUAAGCUAUAUGGAUGAUGAGAACAUGAAGAGAACAGUUAUCCCUGUCUGAUGCUUAAAUGCUGAUCUUUUCAAAUCUGACACAUGGUGUUGUAAAUCUCAUGUUUGCAUUGGAUAUUAUUGCUUCAAAAGCUGGCAUACUUAUGUUUUUCCUUUUUAUGCAUUGGAAGUUACAUAUGGUUCUUUCAUUUUUAUGAUUUUUAUUUGCCUUGGCAGAUUUUAUUAGGUAUUAACCUUAGCUUUUAUGAAAAUUUUUGCUUAAAAAAUGUUGAAUUGUGCCAUUUCCAUUUAAAUUUAUCUCAACCUCCCAGUGUUUCAAAAAGCGCUAGGCACCUAGGCGGUCGGGGGGGUUCAGGCUACCCAGCGCCUAGGCCGGUGCCCAGAACCUGGGCAGCCUAGUAUAAUUUUUUUUUUUUUUUUUGGGUUUUCUCGCUAAAAUAAGCUCUAAUGGGUUUUAGGUUUCAAAUUAACCUAGAACCCAUAAUUUUGGCCCUUUAGUAUUUAAAAAAUGACCCAAAAAUAUUCUCAAGGAGCUGCAUUUUCGCCCCUGGGUGGGGUGCAUGCCCUGGCGGCUGCCUAGGCAGAUUCAGGUGGGCGCCCAGGGGUAUCCUCCUAGGCGGCUGCCCAGGCGCUGGGCAGUCUGCUUUUUGAAACUAUGCCACCUCCUAUUGUGAACGUCAUUACUAAUUUCUGUUAUUGCAAUCCAACUACCUGUCAUUCUUCAUGGAAUGUUAAUGUUGGUAGAUUGUUUUGGGCUUUGUUUCUGUGCUACAUAUGGUAUUGUUCUGAUUUGAUGCCUUUUGUUUUCUCUUUUCAGCACAAUCUACAGGUCUUCGUGAUCUAACAAGUAUUUAUUUGUUUUUUUAUUGUCAAAAAAUAUUUUCUUUUUCAUCCAUAGGUUCUUUAUUUAGAUUCUUUUAGGGAGUUUGUUUUUUUUGUUUAAUUACGCUGAUUGACAUUUGCUCAUUUGUGAUCUUAAAGUUAAUGAAAUGCCAACAUUGGAAAUUGAAUCUCAUAAAUGUGAAGCUGAUAAUUGAAACUUGUAAGAGUUUGUGUCUUUUGAGCUACCUGCUGUCAAACUUAUUUUUCCAAACUUUUGCUUUCUUGUCUUUGAUACUUGGGUUCUUGUCUGUAUGCAUUGUCUUAUUGGAUUUUGAUGCUCACAUUAUCACAAAUGCUGACUCUUACCUUUUGUAUUUCCCAUGGGUUUUUCUGCUACUAUAGGUGUCCUCUACAAUUAGUUUCUAUUUUUGGAGAAAAUUCUCUUUGGGGACUUUAUUAGUUGUUUUGUGUUGUUUUCAUUUUAAUUUACUACAGUGGAGGUUAUACCAGCACUAUAGGCACUGGAUGCCCUUAAAAUUAAGUAGUUAGUCCUGUUUAUCCUGUCACUCAUCUCUUGGUUUUGCAACAAAUUCUAAUUAUUCUGCCUUUGAGGUUGAUUUCCACUUUUGAGGCUAUUUCAGGUAUGGAUAUGCUUGCUGCUUUAUCCUUUUUUUUGUUUUCUGUUUUUGAAGUUGUGUACACUUGGUUUGAAGUUGGUGACUGUUAUGGGGUCUUUCAGGAAUUUGUUUGAUGGGAAGGUGCACUAUUGCAAUUGUGGCGGCCUUUGAUUUUGUCGUGUUUAGUAUGUUGUGCUCUGCAGGCCAAUGAUGUCAAGCUUAGUGGCUGAAUAAGAAUACUUUUCUUUGCCAUGUUGAAGUGCAUUUUACUAGGACUGUCUGAGGCCUUGCAGUCAUUUUGAGCUCUUGCUUUUCAUUUUUUUUUUAUAAUUCCAUUAAUGUGAUUCUGGUAUGGUUGUGUUUACUACACCAGGUUAAAAGAUAUUCAUUGGACUGUCCAAUGAAUAACCUCAACUUAGUGCAAAGGCCUGAGUGCCUAUUCUUUGUAGCCCUUUUUGUCAUUAAUUGGUCUGUCUGUUUGCUCUUGCAAUGUGUUUCUUUCACUUUUUUGGUCUUCAUGACAAUUGUUUGCUUUGACUUUGUAUGCGUUCAAAUGUUUUUGGCACCCUCAUCGUCUACUUGUGUGAUUCAUAAACUCUGUGAUCAUGUUCUUUUGGGAUAUGGAGCUAUAUUCGUUUAUGGAUUUGGUUAUGUUAUUCUCUUUAAAUUUUUAUAGUAAUUGCAUUAUGCCUAUGGUAGUCUCUGCUAAUUGAAUUGUAUUUCUUUUUGUUGAAGAUGUAUGGGCUAUUCUGCUAUUUGCUGCUGAUCGUAUGCAUACGGAAGACUAAGAUUAUACUGUCCUAAUUAUGAUGUCUUUAAGUUGCAUUUCUAAUCAAAGCCAUAUCAUAUCUGGAUUAUGUGUGUUGUUGCAAAACCUUGUUAUAUAUCAUGCAGGUGAAUGUCAAAUGCAUUGGCCAAGGCUUCAGAUCCUUGUAGAACCUGUUUUUGUAAAUUACAUUUACCAUGCAGGCCAAUGUUAAAUUCAAUGGCUGCAUACAAGUUCAAUUCUCUUUUUCACGUUGAACUGGAUUUUACUAGGAUGGUCUGUGGCGACGAAUAAAUCUUGCUUUUCAUUUUUGUGUAUGGGGUUACUUUUGUGCUCGUAGUGUGAAGGUGUUUGUUCUGCUCCAUUACAAAAUGUUCUGUUUUUAUUGAAAUAACCUUAAUAAUUGUCUUAAUGCCUGAGUGCUUUUCCAUCUCAAGUAUUGAUUAGGGGUUUUAGGUUGACAGUCACUACGUGCUCCCCUCGUUUUUAUGGUGACAGUUACUAUGUGCUCCCCUGGUUUAGCCCUUUAUGAAAAAUACAUGAUAUGUAAGAAAAGUCUAAAUCUUGGAUGAUCUUUUGUCUAUUGUUUUUGUUAUUUUAUAGAUUUUUGUAAAAUUGAGUCUUUUCGAUGAUUGAGGCCAUUUUCACGUGUGACAAAUUUUAAAUCUUGGAUGGUCAUUUAAUCUAUUGUUUUGUGAUCUUCAUUCAUAAUUUUUUUGUAAAAUUAAGUGUCUUGGAUUUGGGGCUGUUUUCAUUUGUAAUCUUUAUUCCUCUUUGAAGUUUGGCAUUUUGGGCUACACUUGUAGAACUUCAUGAAGAUUAAGUUGUUUUCCUUGUUGCCUAAUUUAUGAGCCAUUCACUGAUGCCAGUCGUUCUUUUGCACAGCCCAACUUACAUGAGUAUGGCUUCAAAGUUGGAACCUUGACUUCUCUCAACUGGUUUGUUUCGGUGGUAGAAUUUGGUGAAAUAUGGAGCUCUCUUCUCCAGUCGUUGGGUGUGCAAUAUUGUUUGCACAUGAUAAUUGUUGUUUAUCAUGUUGUUAUCUUGCUGAUUUUACAUAUCCUUGUGUUUGGUCUUUGUGGGGGGUUAAUCAAUCUUAAGAUGGGCUGUUAAGAUGCAUAUACACAGCUCUGAUACAUCUUUUGUUCUGACAACUAACAAGCAAGAUGCAUGAAUGAAUGAUCUUGUCUUGGUCUGGUUUGUCAUAUAAACUAUAAUGGUCUGUCACCGCUGUCUGAUUCCUUAAUUAUUGUUGGAUGUGCUACUUGUCAGUACAGUAAGAGCUACCGAACUGCUUGACUGGCCUGCAGGCUUUUGUGCAGGGUUCGCUUAACCUGCAGGCCGAGCCUGGGCCAGGCCUUAUUGGCCCAUUUUUGUUUUGGACCAGGCCGUGGUCACUAUCAGCAUGGACUGAAAUUGUAUUCUGCAAAUAGCCUAUACCAUUUGUUAACUAAAUUUGAGCCAUUCAUUACUAGACUUGUAGAAAUGGAUGGUGCAAGGCUCUGGUGAAGAGACCCAGAAUCUAGAACCUGGUAGGGUUUAGCAAUGAAACUACUCUAUAUAAGGGCCUCUAUGCCAAUAGCCAGGCAUCACAGUUAAUUAUUCUUAUGUUGUUCGUUGCUGUGCUUUCAAUGUUCCUUUUAGUCCUGAUUCUUAGGGUUUGUCUUCAGAGAUUGUUCUGGGAUUUUGUUUCCUCGUUAAGCAAGAGGUUCUCUCUUCACUCUCUGUUCUCUAAAGAUUUUUCAUUGCAUCUGAUUUAAAUUUCUCUGUUUCAAGAUAUGUUGUAUUAUCUAUUGAGAUACACAUUUCAAGUGUGUUUUUUUUGUCAGGUUUUAUUCGUAUGAUUUCUUCAGCUCUUUGUUCUAGUUUUGUAUAUCAAUUUGAUGAUUUUCUAGUUAUUUCCUUUUUCAUGGGCUUGAUCAGAUCUUCCUGUGAAGAGUGAUAUUUGUUUAUGAUGGUUCAUUGGUUUUGCGUGUCGAGGAUGAUAAAAGAAAAGGCUUGUUUCUCAGAAAAACAUUUGCAGUAGUUGCCUAAGAGCUUUCGUCAUGCCGGGCUUGAGAGCUAAUGCUGCCGAACUCUUCCUUGGAUGUUUGAGACACUUGUACGCCAGUCUUUUCUUUUUGCCUAUUAAAAAGGUUUUGUGAUUUUUGAACCUCAGAUUUUCUGCCCCGGGCAUCAGUAACAUAUGGACGGAAAGGUGUAUGAAAAUCUUUGGGGCUUUAUUUGGGAAAAUGUUUCAGAUGUAUCUAAAUGUACCAGAUGAUGUAGUUAAUGCCAUUGGAACCUUAGAUUAUGACUU